UACGUAGGGUGCGAGCGUUAAUCGGAAUUACUGGGCGUAAAGCGUGCGCAGGCGGUUGGCCGUGUCCGAUGUGAAAGCCCCGGGCUUAACCUGGGAAUGGCAUUGGAAACUGGCUGGCUGGAGUGUGGCAGAGGGGGGUGGAAUUCCACGUGUAGCAGUGAAAUGCGUAGAGAUGUGGAGGAACACCGAUGGCGAAGGCAGCCCCCUGGGUCAAGAUUGACGCUCAUGCACGAAAGCGUGGGGAGCAAACAGG
rnacentral:rRNA from 1 species